UAAUAAAUAAUUGAAUUUCUAUUCAAUUUCUUCCUAAUUCUCAAUUUAAUCCUAACUAAAUUCACUUACUUUCCUAAUUCAAUUCACACUCUAUUUCUAUUCAAAUUUCAUCCAAACUAAAAUUUAACUAUCAAAAUUUCAGCAUAUUUUGCUAAUUUCGAAUUUCCCUCAAUUUAGUCCCUAAAACAUAAAACUUAUAGUUUCUUUUACAAUUUAAUCCCUUUUUCAAUUCUAACUUAAAAUUCCUUCAAGUUAAUCCCUAAUUCAUCUCUUUUGUUCAACAUAAACUAUACUUGAAAACCUAUGAACUUACAAAAUAUCAACUUAAUUCCAUCAAAACUUUGUUUUAAAGCUUUUAAAACAUUAGAAUUAAGAGAAAAGGGCUAAUUUGACUUACCAAUCAAAGCUUUAAACCUUAAACCUUCAAUUUUUCCUUUUUCUUUCUUUUUUCUUCUUUCUCCCCUGUUUCUUCUCUGUUUCGUCUUUGGCUAUUCUGUUUCUUUCUUCUUUUGUUUCUUUUAUUCUUUUAUUUUAACUUACUUUACUUUAUUUCCUUUAUUUUAUUUCUUUUGUUUUCUUUUAUUUAAUUACUUUAAUAUAAUAAUUAAAACAAAUAUCUAUUUAGUAAUUAAAUAUAAGUAUUACAAAUGUAUGUAUUUUAUUAAUACACUUGUAUUAAAUAUC
rnacentral:lncRNA from 1 species